rnacentral:rRNA from 1 species
UCGAGAAUUUUUCACAAUGGGCGAAAGCCUGAUGGAGCGACGCCGCGUGGGGGAUGAAUGGCUUCGGCCCGUAAACCCCUGUCAUUCGCGAGCAAUGCCUUCCCGAUAACACCGGGACGGUUGAUCGUAGCGAAAGAGGAAGGGACGGCUAACUCUGUGCCAGCAGCCGCGGUAAUACAGAGGUCCCAAGCGUUGUUCGGAUUCACUGGGCGUAAAGGGUGCGUAGGUGGUGAGGUAAGUUCGGUGUGAAAUCUCCGGGCUCAACCCGGAAAAGGCAUUGAAUACUAUCUUGCUAGAGGUUUGAGGGGGGACUGGAAUUCUCGGUGUAGCAGUGAAAUGCGUAGAUAUCGAGAGGAACACCGGUGGCGAAGGCGAGUCCCUGGACAACACCUGACACUGA